GACGAACGCUGGCGGCGUGCUUAACACAUGCAAGUCGAACGGAAAGGCCCUGCUUUUGUGGGGUGCUCGAGUGGCGAACGGGUGAGUAACACGUGAGUAACCUGCCCUUGACUUUGGGAUAACUUCAGGAAACUGGGGCUAAUACCGGAUAGGAGCUCAUGCUGCAUGGUGGGGGUUGGAAAGUUUCGGCGGUUGGGGAUGGACUCGCGGCUUAUCAGCUUGUUGGUGGGGUAGUGGCUUACCAAGGCUUUGACGGGUAGCCGGCCUGAGAGGGUGACCGGCCACAUUGGGACUGAGGUACGGCCCAGACUCCUACGGGAGGCAGCAGUGGGGAAUAUUGCACAAUGGGCGGAAGCCUGAUGCAGCAACGCCGCGUGCGGGAUGACGGCCUUCGGGUUGUAAACCGCUUUCGCCUGUGACGAAGCGUGAGUGACGGUAAUGGGUAAAGAAGCACCGGCUAACUACGUG
rnacentral:rRNA from 1 species